AUACUUACCUGGCAGGGAGACACCAUAUCUGGAAGGUGGUUUUCCCAGGGCGAGGCUCAUCCAUUGCACUUGGAAUGUGCUGACCCCUGCAAUUUCCCCAAAUGCAGGAAACUCAACUGCAUAAUUUGUGGUAGUGGAGGACUGCAUUUGUGCUCUCCCCUU
ensembl:snRNA U1 U1 spliceosomal RNA